rnacentral:rRNA from 1 species
GACGAACGCUGGCGGCGUGCUUAACACAUGCAAGUCGAACGAAGAGCGAUGGAAGCUUGCUUCUAUCAAUAUUAGUGGCGAACGGGUGAGUAACGCGUAAUCAACCGGCCCUUCAGAGGGGGACAACAGUUGGAAACGACUGCUAAUACCGCAUACGAUCUAAUCUCGGCAUCGAGGAUAGAUGAAAGGUGGCCUCUACAUUUAAGCUAUCACUGAAGGAGGGGAUUGCGUCUGAUUAGCUAGUUGGAGGGGUAACGGCCCACCAAGGCGAUGAUCAGUAGGCGGUCUGGGAGGAUGAACGACCACAUUGGGACUGAGACACGGCCCAGACUCCUACGGGAGGCAGCAGGGGGGAAUCUUCCGCAAUGGACGACAGUCUGAAGGAGCAACGCCGCGUGAGUGAUGACGGCCUUCGGGUUGUAAAGCUCUGUUAAUCGGGACGAAAGGCCUUCUUGCGAAUAGUGAGAAGGAUUGACGUUACCGGAAUAGAAAGCCACGGCUAACUACGUG